AACGAACGCUGGCGGCAUGCCUAACACAUGCAAGUCGAACGAGACCUUCGGGCCUAGUGGCGCACGGGUGCGUAACGCGUGGGAACCUGCCCUUAGGUUCGGAAUAACUCCCCGAAAGGGGUGCUAAUACCGGAUAAUGUCUUCGGACCAAAGAUUUAUCGCCUUUGGAUGGGCCCGCGUUGGAUUAGCUAGUUGGUAGGGUAAAAGCCUACCAACGCGAGGAUGCAUAGCUGGUCUGAGAGGAUGAUCAGCCGCACUGGGACUGAGACACGGCCCAGACUCGUACGGGAGGGAGCAGUAGGGAAUAUUGGACGAGGGACGAAAACCUGAUCCAGCAAUGCCGCGUGAGUGAUGAAGGCGUUAGGGUUGUAAAGCUCUUUUAGACGAGAUGAUAAUGACGGUACCGGGAGAAUAAGCACCGGCUAACUACGUG
rnacentral:rRNA from 1 species